ensembl:lncRNA
GGCAGUUGGGACAGUAGUUAGCGACAGUUGGGACACUAGUUAGCAACAGUUGGGACAGUAGUUAGCGACAGUUGGGACAGUAGUUAGCGGCAGUUGGGACAGUAGUUAGGGGCAGUUGGGACAGUAGUUAGUGACAGUUGGGACAGUAGUUAGCAACAGUUGGGACAGUCGUUAGCGGCAGUUGGCACAGUCGUUAGCGGCAGUUGGCACAGUCGUUAGCGACAGUUGGGACAGUCGUUAGCGGCAGUUGGCACAGUCGUUAGCGACAGUUGGGACAGUAGUUAGCGGCAGUUGGGACAGUAGUUGGGGCAGUUCGGACAGUAGUUAGGGGCAGUUGGGACAGUAGUUAGCGACAGUUGGGACAGCAGUUGGGACAGUAGUUGGGGCAGUUCGGACAGUAGUUAGGGGCAGUUGGGACAGUAGUUAGCGACAGUUGGGACAGUAGUUAGUGACAGUUGGGACACUCGUUAGCGACAGUUGGGACAGUAGUUAGUGACAGUUCGGACAGUAGUUAGCGACUGUUGGGACAGUAGUUGGGGCAGUUGGGACAGUCGUUAGCGACAGUUGGGAAAGUACUUAGCGGCAGUUGGGACAGUGGUUAGGGGCAGUUGGGACAGUAGUUAGCGACAGUUGGGAAAGUAGUUAGGGGUAGUUGGGACAGUAGUUAGGGCAGUUGGGACAGUAGUUGGGGCAGUUGGGACAGUAGUUAGCGGCAGUUGGGACAGUAGUUAGCGACAUUGGGACAGUAGUUGGGGCAGUUGGGACAGUAGUUAGUGGCAGUUGGGACAGUAGUUAGCGGCAGUUGGCACAGUCGUUAGCGACAGUUGGGACAGUCGUUAGCGACAGUUGGGACAGUAGUUAGGGGCAGUUGGGACAGUACUUAGGGGCAGUUGGGACAGUAGUUAGCGACAGUUGGGACUGUAGUUAGCGGCAGUUGGGACAGUAGUUAGGGGCAGUUGGGACAGUACUUAGCGGCAGUUGGGGCAGUUGGGACAGUAGUUAGCGGCAGUUGGGACAGUAGUUAGCGACAGUUGGGACAGUAGUUAGCGGAAGUUGGGACAGUAGUUAGGGGCAGUUGGGACAGUAGUUAGCAGCAGUUGGGACAGUAGUUAGGGGCAGUUGGGACAGUAGUUUGCAGCAGUUGGGACAGUAGUUAGCGACAGUUGGGACAGUAGUUAGCGGAAGUUGGGACAGUAGUUAGCGGCACUUGGGACAGUAGUUAGCAACAGUUGGGACAGUAGUUGGGGCAGUAGGGACAGUAGUUAGCGACAGUAGGGAUUGUAGUUAGCGACAGUUGGGACAGUAGUUUGCGCCAGUUGGGAAAGUAGUUAGGGGCAGUUGGGACAGUAGUUAGCAACAGUUGGGAAAGUAGUUAGGGGUAGUUGGGACAGUAGUUAGCUGCAGUUGGGACAGUAGUUAGCAGCAGUUGGGAAAGUAGUUGGGGCAGUUGGGACAGUAGUUAGCGACAGUUGGGACAGUAGUUAGUGGCAGUUGGGACAGUAGUUAGGGGCAGUUGGGACAGUAGUUAGUGGCAGUUGGGACAGUAGUUGGUGCAGUUGGUACAGUAUUUAGCGAAAUUUGGAACAGUAGUUAGCAGCAGUUGGGACAGUAGUUAGCAGCAGUUGGGGCAGUAGUUAGCGGCAGUUGGGACAGUAGUUAGCGGCAGUUGGGACAGUAGUUAGCGGCAGUUGGCACAGUCGUUAGCGGCAGUUGGGACAGUAGUUAGGGGCAGUUGGGAGAGUAGUUAGGGGCAGUUGGGACAGUAGUUGGGGCUGUU